UCUCCGUAGGUGAACCUGCGGAGGGAUCAUUACAGAGUUCAUGCCCUACCGGGUAGAUCUCCCACCCUAUGUUAUUAUUACUUUGUUGCUUUGGCGGGCCGUUAGGCUCCGGCCCGACUACCGGCCCCGGCUGGUAAGCGCCCGCCAGAGGACCCAAAACCCUGAAUAUUAGUGUCGUCUGAGUACUUUAUAAUAGUUAAAACUUUCAACAACGGAUCUCUUGGUUCUG
rnacentral:misc_RNA from 1 species